rnacentral:rRNA from 1 species
GACGAACGCUGGCGGCGUGCCUAAUGCAUGCAAGUCGAGCGGGCUACGAUCUUCGGAUUGUAGCUUAGCGGCGAACGGGUGAGUAACACGUAGGUAAUCUACCCUUCAGAGGAGGACAACCUCAGGAAACUGAGGCUAAACCUUCAUACGUUCACUGGGUAGGGAUACUGGUGAAGAAAGAGUUACCUUAGUGGUAGCUGCUGAAGGAUGAGCCUGCGGCCCAUCAGGUAGUUGGUGAGGUAACGGCUCACCAAGCCGAAGACGGGUAACCGGUCUGAGAGGAUGUCCGGUCACACUGGGACUGAGACACGGCCCAGACUCCUACGGGAGGCAGCAGUAAGGAAUAUUGGGCAAUGGUCGAAAGACUGACCCAGCCAUGCCGCGUGCAGGAUGAAGGCCCUAUGGGUUGUAAACUGCUUUUAGCCGGGAAUAAACUACCCGUUUAUAACGGGCCCGAAGGUACCGGCUGAAUAAGCAUCGGCUAACUCCGUGCCAGCAGCCGACGGU